rnacentral:rRNA from 1 species
GAUGAACGCUGGCGGCGUGCUUAACACAUGCAAGUCGAACGAUGAAGCUGGAGCUUGCUCUGGCGGAUUAGUGGCGAACGGGUGAGUAACACGUGAGCAACCUGCCCCUGACUCUGGGAUAACAGCCGGAAACGGCUGCUAAUACCGGAUAUGCACCAUGAACGCAUGUUCUGUGGUGGGAAAGAUUUUUCGGUUGGGGAUGGGCUCGCGGCCUAUCAGCUUGUUGGUGAGGUAAUGGCUCACCAAGGCGCCGACGGGUAGCCGGCCUGAGAGGGUGACCGGCCACACUGGGACUGAGACACGGCCCAGACUCCUACGGGAGGCAGCAGUGGGGAAUAUUGCACAAUGGGCGAAAGCUGAUGCAGCAACGCCGCGUGGGGGAUGACGGCCUUCGGGUUGUAAACCUCUUUUAGCAGGGAAGAAGCGAGAGUUACGGUACCUGCAGAAAAAGCGCCGGCUAACUACGUGC